rnacentral:rRNA from 1 species
GAUGAACGCUGGCGGCGUGCCUAAUACAUGCAAGUCGAGCGAGCAGAUGAGGAGCUUGCUCCUCUGACGUUAGCGGCGGACGGGUGAGUAACACGUGGAUAACCUACCUAUAAGACUGGGAUAACUUCGGGAAACCGGAGCUAAUACCGGAUAAUAUAUUGAACCGCAUGGUUCAAUAGUGAAAGACGGUUUUGCUGUCACUUAUAGAUGGAUCCGCGCCGCAUUAGCUGGUUGGUAAGUUAACGGCUUACCAAGGCAACGAUGCGUAGACGACCUGAGAGGGUGAUCGGCCACACUGGAACUGGGACACGGUCCAGACUCCUACGGGAGGCAGCAGUAGGGAAUCUUCCGCAAUGGGCGAAAGCCUGACGGAGCAACGCGGCGUGAGUGAUGAAGGUCUUCGGAUCGUAAAACUCUGUUAUUAGGGAAGAACAAAUGUGUAAGUAACUAUGCACGUCUUGACGGUACCUAGUCAGAAAGCAACGGCUAACUACGUG